rnacentral:rRNA from 1 species
CCAGAUCGUCAGCUAAGGUCCCUAAAUGUAAGUUAAGUGGUAAAGGAUGUGGGAUUGCACAGACAACCAGGAUGUUGGCUUAGAAGCAGCCACUCAUUCAAAGAGUGCGUAAUAGCUCACUGGUCGAGUGAUCCUGCGCCGAAGAUUUCCGGGGCUAAAACUUACUACCGAAGCUACGGCAUCAUUAUGAUGGGUAGGGGAGCUUCCCAUACGGGUUGAAGCAUGACCGUAAGGACAUGU